UCGGAUGUAUCUCAGAUGGUAGAGUAUGUGCCUGAUAUGCACAUUGUCGAGCGUUCGAGCCGCUCCGUCCGAA
rnacentral:tRNA from 2 species